CCUACGGGAGGCAGCAGUGAGGAAUAUUGGUCAAUGGACGAGAGUCUGAACCAGCCAAGUAGCGUGAAGGAUGACUGCCCUAUGGGUUGUAAACUUCUUUUAUAUGGGAAUAAAGUGCAGUAUGUAUACUGUUUUGUAUGUACCAUACGAAUAAGGAUCGGCUAACUCCGUGCCAGCAGCCGCGGUAAUACGGAGGAUCCGAGCGUUAUCCGGAUUUAUUGGGUUUAAAGGGAGCGUAGGCGGAUUAUUAAGUCAGUUGUGAAAGUUUGCGGCUCAACCGUAAAAUUGCAGUUGAUACUGGUAGUCUUGAGUGCAGCAGAGGUAGGCGGAAUUCGUGGUGUAGCGGUGAAAUGCUUAGAUAUCACGAAGAACUCCGAUUGCGAAGGCAGCUUACUGGACUGUAACUGACGCUGAUGCUCGAAAG
rnacentral:rRNA from 1 species